CACAACUACACGGGAAAUCUAUCUUUCCCAACCCAUAGCCUCUAAUAGACCUACCUGUGUAGUACACGUUAAAGGAAAGAAAUUUUAUGGGCUUAUGGACAUGGGAGCUGAUGUGUCAGUCAUAUCUAUAGGAUGGGCACAUCAAACAUUACAACGUAUGUUGAAAAAACAAAAAGGGGGUAUAGGAGGCCAACUACCACCUCAAUCAAAACUACAUUUAGCCUUAUUUAAAUUUUCUGACUCCUGGUAUGGAUGGUAAGACUCCAGCAGAAAGACAUUGGCAAGUGUUAGAGGAAAAAAGCAAAGUUUAUCUGAAAGUGUUACGGAAAUCCCCAGAAGGACGACAAUGGAAAGGCCCGGUAGAUUUACUGACCUGGGGAAGAGGGUAUGCUUGUGUGUUUACAGGAGAUGGACAAGCCAUGUGGGUGCCCUCAAGGUGCAUGCGACCAUGGAAUGGGAGACUGGAGGAACCCAGGGUGGCCAACCAUGGGCCCAGUCCCUCCUGUACGAGCUAUGAGUCAGCUGAGCCUGAGUGCAAAGAUGGAGAGAAGGCCAACCAGAGUCAUGAUGACAUCAACCCCCAUAACCUGGAGACAACUCAAGAAAACCAUGCAGGAAGCUGAGAAACUACUGGAGUGUCAGGGACAGGCAAAACCCCUGAUUCCAUGCUCUUGGCCAUGUUAACCAUAAUGUCCUGUGUGCUACGUUUUCCCUGUGCAUAGGCAAAAACAUAUUGGGCAUAUGUUCCCAAUCCCCCAGCAGUAUGGCCUAUACUUUGGAGCUCACUCCUCCUGAGAUUUAUCACGAUCAGGUAGAGUGGGCUCCAGGACCCCUAACUCCCCGUGACAUAGAACAGUUAGACUCUCAGAACAAUGUCAUUAAUUAUACCACUCCACUGGAAGGACUCCCAUUGUUUAUCACCACAAAGACGUCGCUCAGCCAUAGCUGUCUUGCAAUUCAAGCUCAAACAUGGUUGAGUCACUAUGGAAAAAUUAUGUACUUAUUAGGUCUUGGUUCUAUUAAUGUAACUGGUGUGCUAACCAAUCAUUCCCAGUCCAGUCAUCCUAAUUGUGCUGAUUAUACAGAAUGGAUUCCAUCCAAUAGUUCCUACCCCACUCCGUGGACCCAGUGUCUUGAUCCACUGGCUAGUAAACAAUAUAUGUCAACUGAAGACACUGUGGAUUGGGAACCUAAAGGUCAAUUAGAUGGAAAAGGUGAAAGUCAGAAAUCAUGGCACAAACUUCACUGGCAUUGGCGGCAAGCUUUUAAUGCUUCUUCUUUAUACAACACCAGAAUCCAAUCCCAGUCUGCUGCUCAGAUUGCUUGGCAUGGAGCAGGCUUUAGCCCACCUCUUCCUCAGUUGCAUUAUCUGGGGAGGAAAGGACCAAUUCAAGAAACUAUAUGGAAGGCAGCACUCCCAUUUAUGAAUGGCAACAUCUGGAUUGGAACACUGUCUAAUAAUAGCAAUAGUGAGCAACACAGUCUUAAUGUUGCAUUUGUAAAGAAUAUCACCACUCAGUUUACAGUUUGUGUUUUUAAUCCUUAUGCCUUUUUGGCAGCUAAGAAGAACCAGCUUCAGGUAAACAAUACCCAAUUGACCUGUAAAUCUUGCCAGUUAUAUCACACUGCAUUAAUCAUAGCACAUUACGAACACAUAAUAUCUCUACUUUGAUAAUGUUGGGUUGCAUCCCUGGGCUACGGAUUCCUGUUAAUCUGUCUGAGCCUUGGGCUGCCACACCUGCUUUGCAUUUUUGUAACACUUCUUCUAACUCAGCUUACUCACUGUGUCCGUAGAGCCUUAGGCAUAAUUUUUGCUAUUGUUUCCUUGGUCAAACUAAUAACUUCUGUUGUGAUAUCUUCUGUAACUCUGCAUAAUUCUAUUCAAACAUCUCAGUAGGUGGAGAACUGGACACGCACAGCUGACCAAGCGAGGCUACUUCAGAAUAAAAUUAACACUGAGUUACAAACUGAAGUGGCAAUGUUGAAAUCCACGGUUCUGUGGUUAGAACAGUCUGUAAAAUCGGAUGGACCGCCAAUCGGAGAAUGAGAGCUGCCCAGCCUGGUCUUACAUUCUUUCAAUUAAUACAUAAACAGAAAGGGGGAUAUGCAGGGAGCCGAAGGCCCAUGGGACGUGACCAACUCAGCAUUCCACUGGAGGCUAUAUGAUCAAACAGCAAACUGUUUAUCAUGAAUACAGGAUGUGGGCAAACUCAGGACUGCUCCUGCCAACAUAAGGUUUGCUGGAGGCAAUCACUCCCUGGCACGGAGGUUAUCUACUGCGACAUCUAGAGAAUGCAGUCCUGCAAGCCUACUCUGAACUGAGCAGCUGACCCCUUCUUCCACCCCCCCCCACCCUCCUAUCUCUUUUGCCUAAUAAAUACGGAGGGCUGUGUAAAGCUCAGGGCCCUUGUCCACUAGAGGCAAGGUGCUCCCUGACCCCUUCUCCCAAAUAUACUCUUUUGUCUCCUGUCUUUAUUCCCACGUUCACCCCCAUUUGUGCAGUCCCAUAGGUCCAUGUGGGUUACGGCCCGCCACCACGCCUGGCUAAUUUUUGUAUUUUUAGUAGAGAUCGGAUUUCACCAUCUUGGUCAGGCUGGCCUUGAAC
rnacentral:lncRNA from 1 species